GACGAACGCUGGCGGCGUGCCUAAUACAUGCAAGUCGAGCGCAGGAAACUGACGGAACUCUUCGGAGGGAAGGCAGUGGAAUGAGCGGCGGACGGGUGAGUAACACGUAAGGAACCUGCCUCAAGGAUUGGGAUAACUCCGAGAAAUCGGAGCUAAUACCGGAUAGUUCAACGGACCGCAUGGUCCGCUGAUGAAAGGCGCUCCGGCGUCACCUUGAGAUGGCCUUGCGGUGCAUUAGCUAGGUGGUGGGGUAACGGCCCACCAAGGCGACAGUGCAAAGCCGACCUGAAGGGGUGAUCGGCCACACGGGGACUGAGACACGGCCCAGACUCCUACGGGAGGCAGCAGUAGGGAAUCUUCCACAAUGGACGAAAGUCUGAUGGAGCAACGCCGCGUGAGUGAUGAAGGUUUUCGGAUCGUAAAACUCUGUUGUAAGGGAAGAACACGUACGAGAGGAAAUGCUCGUACCUUGACGGUACCUUACGAGAAAGCCACGGCUAACUACGUGCCAGCAGCCGCCGUAACAC
rnacentral:rRNA from 1 species